rnacentral:rRNA from 1 species
AUUGAACGCUGGCGGCAGGCCUAACACAUGCAAGUCGAACGGUAACAGGAAGAAGCUUGCUUCUUUGCUGACGAGUGGCGGACGGGUGAGUAAUGUCUGGGAAACUGCCUGAUGGAGGGGGAUAACUACUGGAAACGGUAGCUAAUACCGCAUAAUGUCGCAAGCCCAAAGAGGGGGACCUUCGGGCCUCUUGCCAUCGGAUGUGCCCAGAUGGGAUUCGCUAGUAGGUGGGGUAACGGCUCACCUAGGCGACGAUCCCUAGCUGGUCUGAGAGGAUGACCAGCCACACUGGAACUGAGACACGGUCCAGACUCCUACGGGAGGCAGCAGUGGGGAAUAUUGCACAAUGGGCGCAAGCCUGAUGCAGCUAUGCCGCGUGUAUGAAGAAGGCCUUCGGGUUGUAAAGUACUUUCAGCGGGGAGGAAGGGAGUAAAGUUAAUACCUUUGCUCAUUGACGUUACCCGCAGAAGAAGCACCGGCUAACUCCGUG